AACGCUGGCGGCGUGCUUAAUACAUGCAAGUCAACUUGACUUUAGAUAGCAAUAUCGAAAAGUAGGGUGGCGCACGGGUGCGUAACGCGUAGGUAAUCUGCCCUGAGGUCUGACAUAACCCGUCGAAAGGCGGGCUAACAUCAGAUGAUAUAUAAUCACGACAUCGUGGAAAUAUCAAAUCUUCGGAGCCUUGGGAUGAGCCUGCGUCUGAUUAGGUAGUUGGCGGAGUAAUAGCCCACCAAGCUUACGAUCAGUAGCUGGUCUGAGAGGAUGAUCAGCCACACUGGAACUGAGACACGGUCCAGACUCCUACGGGAGGCAGCAGUAAGGAAUAUUGCUCAAUGGGGGAAACCCUGAAGCAGCAACGCCGCGUGAAGGAUGAAAUACUUUGUAUGUAAACUUCUGUAAGAUGGGAAAAUAUUCUCCUCGGGAGAAUUGAUUGUACCAUCAGAGUAAGCCCCGGCUAACUACGUG
rnacentral:rRNA from 1 species